rnacentral:lncRNA from 1 species
GAGAUGGCUCAGUCGGUGACGUGUUUGCCUUGUAAACAGGAGGACUUGAGGUCAAUCCCCAGCACCCACAUAAAAAGCUGGGUGUGUGGGCACGCCUUUGUAUUCAGCACUGACCAAGUGGACGAAAGAGCUCCCUUGGGGCUCACUGGCCAGCCAGUCUAGCCUCAUUAGUGAGCUUCAGGCCCAUGAGAGACCCUGUGUCAAAAGCAGCAGGCACUCCUGAGAAUGACACCCAGCAUCGCCCUCUGGCCGUCAUUUGAACACACACAUAAACUAGAUUUUAUUUUUUCAGAUUUAUUUUCUUGUUGCAUAGGAGUGGUUUUGCUUGCAUGCAUGUUUGUCUACCACAUGCACACCUGGUACUUACAGAGAUCAGAAGAUAGACAGCAUCAGAGUCCCUAGAACUGGACUUAUGGGUAGUUGUGAGCCACCAUGUGGGUGCUGAGAACUGAACCUGGGUCCUCUGCAAGAGCGACAAGUGCUCUUAACUGCUGAGUCAUCUUUCCAGCCCCUCAUUUAUACCCCAGCCUGAGACCCACUUCCCUUACCCACCUCCCAGCCAUCUCUGACUGUCUCCAUCCUCCUCCCCAUCCCUUCUCUCUUCCUCUCUCUAACCCAGCUGGGCUUGAACUCUCCAGCCUUCUGACUCAGCCUCCAAAUCCAGGGGUUACAGAUGUAAGCCACCACACCCGCUCUAAGAGACGGAACGGUAGGUAGGCAUUUUAAAAGCUGAAUUUACCAUUUGUUGUUAUACCAAGAAACGAGCUGUGGUUGGCUCACAAUGGAGACUGGAAGGAACCAUUUUUCCCUGUUUUUUUUUUUUUCCUUUAGAACAUGUACAGAAUUUAAUUUUAUUUAUCCACAUGACUCACUCUGGGAUCAAACAUCUUUUCUUUGUUGUGUGUUUAGAUCUCGGGUUGUUUAUUUCUUCGCUUCCUUAAUGUUUUCCUCAUGUUUAAUUUAAAUCACUCGCCUUUUAUCUUUCUCAGCAUCUCCAGCUAUUUCGUUCUUUUCUAACCUUUGUUCUCCUUCUCGCUGCAUGGAAUUUAAAAACAAUAAGUUGAGAUGUAUUUUCUUCCUCGGUGCAAAGUGAGUGGCUACUUCAGGAUUCCACACACAGCUCGCUAGUCUCCACCAAACAAAAACCUGAAGGCUUUUCCCUUAGGCUCCCAUGCAGUCUGAAGUGUGGGACAUUUGAUUAAUAAGUAAUCCUGUGCUUUGGCCCAACUCCCAGGAAGGAAAAAGGUCACAGACCAGGGAGAAGUUUGCGUAUUUCCUGGUAUUUUGGGACAUUUGCACGCAUGGAGACAGAAUAUACAGUACCAAUACUUUCAGUACCUUUCUGCAAGGCAGAAACUAUACCAAUGUGUUUGUGAAUGGCCGUGUGGUCUGGCUGGCCAUUUCUAAGCACAACUUCUUGGAACCUGUCAAGGUACCUUCUGUAUUUCUCUGUCAAACGCAAAAAUUCCUGUUUUUCACUGUCAAACUCAGAGUGGAGCGGUGUCAUCUGCAUAAAAGCGUUGACACGUUCUUUCCCACCUAACAGGGAGAGAGCAGGUGUCGAGCUCUGCUAUGUGAGAUCAUGCCUGGUCAGAACAAGUGAGGCCAGGUUUGGAGAGCAGUGGGCGGCUUGACUUUGGAGACAGCACACGUGGCCUUUCUUUAGAGGCUGUGGCGGUGGCUCAGUGGGUAACACUUGCCUUGCAAUCAUGAGGGCUUGCAGAACUCAAGUUGAAAGCUUGGGGUUGGCAACCACUUGUAAUCCCAGCUCUGGAGAGGCAGACACUGGAUCUCUGCCAUUCCUUGGCCGACACCCAUCGUUGGCCUCUGAUGUCUACAUGCAUGUACACAUGUAUUUGAGCAUGUCUACAUACCACCCCCCCCCCAACACACACAGGAAUUUCCUUCAGCAAAUUCCUAGCUGACUACUUUGGCAAUUGGUAUCCUCUGUUGUCUGUUUUAUCUGGGUGUGAAUUUCUUUUAAUAUAUUUAACUUCUCUAGUGGGAUUAAGGUACCUUGCU